AGUGAACGCUGGCGGUAGGCCUAACACAUGCAAGUCGAACGGCAGCACAGUAAGAGCUUGCUCUUACGGGUGGCGAGUGGCGGACGGGUGAGGAAUACAUCGGAAUCUACUUUUUCGUGGGGGAUAACGUAGGGAAACUUACGCUAAUACCGCAUACGACCUACGGGUGAAAGCAGGGGAUCUUCGGACCUUGCGCGAUUGAAUGAGCCGAUGUCGGAUUAGCUAGUUGGCGGGGUAAAGGCCCACCAAGGCGACGAUCCGUAGCUGGUCUGAGAGGAUGAUCAGCCACACUUGAACUGAGACACGGUCCAGACUCCUACGGGAGGCAGCAGUGGGGAAUAUUGGACAAUGGGCGCAAGCCUGAUCCGGCCAUACCGCGUGGGUGAAGAAGGCCUUCGGGUUGUAAAGCCCUUUUGUUGGGAAAGAAAAGCAGCAGGUUAAUACCCCGCUGUUCUGACGGUACCCAAAGAAUAGCACCGGCUAACUUCGUG
rnacentral:rRNA from 1 species